AUUAGCAGUGCUGGGCUUGAACUAGCAAAUGUGCUGGUGACUUCUCCUCCCCUGCACCAGUCAUGGGCAGCUGUUCAGAAGCAAAAGCUCAACACAGCUCCUGAUCCGAAUACGCAAACGGCCUUAUAUGUUACUGAAACCAAGCAUUCAAACACCACCAUCAUAUCUUUUCUUACUUCACCCGUCAUGCUUCAAGAUCCACAAGCAAUGAUUUCGUCGUUGACUCUGAGGGACAAAAAUUUUCCCCUCUUUGAGUUUUUGUGCAGCAAAAACGCCCCAAUUUUCUCCGUCAAUGAAUUGGCAAUCGAAUUCUUCGCCUUGAAUCACAACGACCUCAACCUCGAUCUUCUGAGGACAAAGGUGCAUAUUGUUGUCUCUCUGAUAACUGAUUGUGUUUAACUGCUUAGACUAUUAAUGUUAGUGAGAAACAUUUAAAAAUCAUGUUUAUAAAUGUUAGAUUAUGUUGGCGCGAAACACUUACAAACCCUUGAUUAAUACUGUUAUAAGGGGCAUUUAUUGCAUCGUAUUAUCUCAGACUUGACUAGCUUGCUUGGUUUGGACUUAAGCAUGAUAAGAAUAGGGGCUCAAAAAAUUAAUUUCAAUUUUCUUUUAGUUUUUUUACUUCUCCCUCCACCAGUUACACACCUCACUCAAUAAAAUGUCCUACGAACACCAGAACUUCACUAUGCACUACGUGCAACGAACAUAAUUAUAUUUUCCACUUUGUAAUUGUGCAGAGACUUUCAUAAUUUUCUUUCAAAUUAACACUACCAAUCUUUAUUAGAACCAAAAAAUGGAAAAACUUAUUGAUUUGCACAAUUUACUAGAUUUUAAAAUUGCCAGAUACUUUUUAUGAAGGGAAAAAAAAACAAACUUUAACGAAAAGCAUUCGGUACUGUUCACUUUAACGAAAAACCACAUUUUUGCCCUAAAAAAUCAAUCCUGGUACUAUUCACUUUAUCAUUUAUUUUGUCCUUAUCAUUAAAACUCAAAGUUUUCAAGUCUCUUUCAUUAGUUUUCUUAAAAAAAAAUUAUGCGUGAACAACACUUCUCACAAAAAAAAAAAAUAAUGAAAUAUAUAAAUACAUACCAAAGUAAAUGUUUGCACACACUAACAUGCAAUAUAUGCAGUUUUUCAUUUUGUCAAACAAAUACAACAUAGCACAUUAAAGACAUUUUGUAAAUCCUAUGGGUUGGUUAAUAUGGGCAACAACCUUGGGUUUGGUUGUCAAGUACUUAGCAGGAUCUUCGAAAUUGUUCCAUAACACUGCUCCGAAAUUGCAUUCUUUAAUCCCUGCUUGCAAAUGCAAAAGUGGUUAUCAAUCGCUCCCUACUACUGUAAAAGGGAGAUAAUGAUAGAACUAAUUCAAUGUGAAAAACUAUAAGCUUCAAUGAAAUCAAAUGACAGGAGAAAAUUAAUGCAAGUCACCACUUCUUGAGGAUGAAGAGGGAGAGCAUCGAUGAAUAUUUUACUUCAAAUUAAGGGAUUUCUUCUAAGGAGGUUUAUAGGGUUACCUAUUUGCAAGAUGACAUUUAUGUAAACCUGUGUGGAUAACGGAGAACAUGUAGUUAAUAUAUUAUAGUUGAGAAAAGCUAUCUUUCUUCUUGUAGUUCAUUUGUAAAUUUAUAAGAAUACCUCAUGUUUAUGUAUUACCAUCACCCAGCUUUAAACCAUAUAAACAUGUGUGGAUGACUGAUUUUGUAACGUAAAAGAUAGAAAAUCAAGAUGACAUUUAGAAGUCAAGAUAAGUAGGAAAGGGAUGCAAAAAAGAAGUGGGAAAGGGAUGCAAGAUAAGUGGAAGUCACAAAGCGGAUAGCUUUUCAUAUGGCCUCAAGGUUGAUAAAUUUACAAUGGUUAAGGAUGCAAAUCCGAUAUCUCCAUAAGUUUGAGUCAGUAGAGGCACUUGAAAAUAGAAUGAUAAGAUGGUAACUUCAUUCUGGUUAAUCGAAUGUUUUAGCUAGCAGCAAGUGGGUCAAGGCUCGAUGCCAAAGUCAUAAACUAUGGUUUUAAAGCACAUUUCAGCCACCAAAACCCAGAGUACUCAUGUCAAAUAUUAACAGCCAAAAUCCUGAGUACACACGAUAAACUAUAAUUCAUUAAUGGGAAUGAAACAUCUGAGAAAAUGUGAACUCAACAACCAAAACCCAGUGUACCCAUGUCAAAUAUUAACAACAAAGGAAUUUAUGUAUGUAUGUCAGGAAUCAAACAAAAAAUUAUCACCCAAAAUAAAAAUCAAUCAGGGGUGCUUUAUGUAAUAGGAAGCCCAGAACCACUGUUCUAAGUGUUAGGCGGUUGGCCACCACCCCGAUUAAUGCCUAGACAUUUGAAAAUUAAGAAAGGGCGUAUUGACUUGUUGAGGCACCCUCCUAGACCGCCUCGAGACCCGCCUAGACCGCCUAACCCGUCUAGAUCUGCCUAGGCAUCCGCCUAGGUCACAACUCACUUAAACAGAAAAUAGAUCACUUUCAUUUUGCAUUUUAUUUUUCAAUAAAUUGUAAGAGACUUGUUGCAUACUUAAAUGAACACACAUUAUAUCCUUGUUCCCCAUGAUUUCAUUAUGUUUCAAUACUUCAUAAUGUAUAUGUCAUUCUAUUUUGUAGUUUAUGAUGAAAUUAUAUAUAUUUUAAAUAUAAAUACGUACUUAUUUACACGAAAUAUAAUAGAUUUUACUUAAAUCCGCCUAGUCCGCCUAGGCCCCGUCUAGCCGCCUAGGUUCUUGGUCCAAACCCGCCGCCCUACUAGCGCCUUUUAGAACCUUACCCAAAACAAAAUAAAAAAACGGCUAUAUGGGUUAUAGAUCAGAAAAUGGUGCUUUUGCAUGCUCAAAAGAUUGUUAAAAGGCCAUAAAAUGGUGAUUAUUAUGUAACCAAAUUGGAGAAUUUUGGAUAAGAUUAAACAACAAUAAGCAGGGAACAAAGAAAAAAUUGCAAUCAAUUUACAAAAACUUAGCAAUAAGUUCACAUAAGGAAAAAUAGCAGAUAAAUUGGGUAGCAAUCAAUUAAAAAGCGCACCCAAUCACAGAACACAAAUGUACACGCACCCAAUUUUUGUGCUAGAAAUUCAAAAUUUUUAGAGAUUUCGCAUGCAAACAAUGAAAUCAAUCAAAACCCAAUAAUAAUUACGAUCUGCAAAACAAAAUUGAAGAAAUUGAUUGUCAAAUUCAGAAUUUACCAAACAGGACGAGGAUGAAGGAGCGGGACGAGGAUGAGGGAGCAGAAUGAGCAUGACCAGGAUGGGUUAGCAGGACCAGGACGAGCGAGCAACUGUCUCGAAGAUGGUCGUAGCAAUCCGAUGAUAUUGGGGUUCUCGCUAAGAACUUCUAGUGAAGCAGUUUGUUGGAGCAAGUUUGACUUAAUCCCAUUAAACUUAAUUCUUCUGUCUAACAAACACAAGAUUACACUAACAAUUAGUCCUAUUCAGUUCAAUGAGAUCUAGUGAGCCUAAACAAACACACCCUAAGAGCUUAAUGUAGUAACAGUUGAGUCCCUUCCCCCUUUAAAGAAAAUUAAUGAAAAAUGCUUCAAAACUUUACAUUUUAAUAAAAAAUUAUUUAGUAACUUUAUUUAAUGAUAAAGAUAAAAAAAAUAAAAAAUUUAAACAUGCAUGUGCCUAGCCCGCGUCCCCCUCUCCCCCCCCCCCCAAUAUAACCAAAUAAGAAAAAGUAAAUGAAAACACACUACACAUACAUAUGAUAUUAUGUAUGAAUUAGCUAACUGUAACAACGAUGACACCUAUUUUUAGGCCUUUGACAAAAUAAGUUAACACAAACACACGUCUGGUGCUAUAAUCUCGUAAGUUUCACAAACAGUGUAGUACUAUUAAAUUUCAUAAACAAUGUUAAGUUUCAUAAACAGUAUAGUAAGUUUCAUAAACAAUGUGUAUGUAGACGCACGGUCCCCUGCGUUAGUUUUUUUUUUUUUUAAAUUAUGUCUUUUUCAUUAAAAUUUAAAGUUCUUUUGUCAUUUUUAUUAAAGUUUAAGAGUUUUUCAUUAAUAUUUAAGUAUUUUUUAUUAAAUAAAGUUAUAGCAUGAUUUUUUGUUAAAAUAAAUUUAAUCAAAUGCCUUUUCAUGAAAGUUCCCUUUCUUUAUUGUUUCAAAACCGAGUUUUAAGUAUUUUUUUUUUUCUAAUAUGAAUGAAGUUCUGAGGACCUUAUUCGUAGAGACGUCUCCGAACUGAUUAAAUGGCAGUUCAGUAAUUGACUAACUUUUAUGUAAUAUUUCAGCUGGUAGAAAGAAGCAAAUCCAACUCAUUGGUACUUGUCACUGGACAAUCUUUUGGAGGCGCUGUAGCUACCCUUUUCACCUUAUGGCUGCUAGAAAGCCUCGACUUAUCGAAAGUGAAACGUCCCCUUUGUAUCGCUUUUGGUUCACCUUUGAUCGGUGACAAACAAUUCGGACAAUGUGUGUUGCAAUUCCCAUUGUGGAGUUCUUGCUUCUUGAAUGUAGCCUCCAUCGAUGAUCCUGUACUUCAAUUCUUCCAAACCGCUUCGCAAGCGAGUGGUUAUAAGCCUUUCGGAACAUUCCUACUGUGCUCCUCUUCGGGUGGUUCUUGCUUUGAGGACCCUGAUGCCAUUUUGCAACUAUUGGUGGAAACCAGCUCUCGGUGUGCCCAAAAUCCAGGUCUGAAUUCAGGGAUUCAGUUGUUCGAUUACGGAAAGAUUUUGAAUGAUCUCAAGACUAAGGCAUUGUCUAGAGAUGUCUUUGAGUUGGUUGAAGAGGAUAGAGUUCCACUUAAAGCUGGAAUUAAAACACAGUUGGCAGCAAUAUUAGGAGUUCUCAGCUCACAGGUAUCAAACUUUCAACAGAAAUAUCUGAUUUGAUGAUGAUUUUGGGAAAUGGGUUCCGCACAAACCUGUUUAUUUCCAUCUCUUGAUUCUCCUUUGAUUUAUUUAAUCCAAAGACUAGAAAUAAACACGGGUGUGCAGGGGGGGAAUAUGAGAUUGCGGAAAUCACACCCCAUGUUUUGCUUCUAGCUACUAACUUUUCUCUCAACUACUUUUGUAAAAGUCAUUGCAGCAGCAACAACCCAACAUAGAAUUCGAAAGUCUGAUGAAAAAGAUGGUCACUCACGAACGUAAACUAGCGAUGCAGAAGACGAAGGUUUACAGUUCCUACUUGAAACUGAAUGAGAUGGAAAAGUACAUGGCCUACAUGGAAUGGUACAAGAUGUCGUCCGAAGACAUGGGAAUAGGAUACUAUGACAGGUACAGAAACAAGCGUUACGCGAGUGACAUUAUGGCCGAAGAGUACAAGAGGACGCUCUCAAGGUAUUGGCAUGACACGGUUACAGAAGCUGCGAACAAGCCCCGGCAAGAAGGAGCCGCAAUGCCAGCCCCUUUUCUUUUUGCUGGAACGAAUUACAGAAAGAUGAUCGAACCACUUUGCAUUGCAGAGUACUACAAGGAAGGUGGAAAAGAUUACAUAGAGGAAAGGCCUGGACAUUUCGUUCUUUUGGAGCAAUGGUACAAUGAAGAGGAGGAAAAUAAGAAGAAAGAGAGGGAAGAAAAGGAGAACCCACAACUGCGCAGCGCAAGCAAGCCCAAUUCAAAAGCGAAGAACGAGGCUCCUAAUCUGAAUGAUGAUUCUUGUUUUUGGGCGCACGUCGAGGAAGCGCUUAUCUGGUGCAACGAACAAGCGAGUAAUCCAGAUGCUAAGCCAAUGACCGAAUAUGAGCUUUACGUUCUGAAUAUGCUCGAGAAUUUCGCAGUUACGGUUGAUAUUUUCUUGAAAAAUAGCAGCUUCAUGCAUUGGUGGAACAAGUAUAAAGUAAUUGUGGGAAGCAACUACUCCUCAGCAUUUACCGAGGUCAUGAAGCGUAAGACUUAUCGCAAAUAUGCGGAUGGGGUCUCAGUUCGUACUGAUCAAUAAUCCAAUAUAAUUAAGUUUUAAGCAAGCAAUUAAAUCAGAUAAAGCAAGAUUAAUUUUGCUGUAUCGCUUAUGAUCUUCAUAGAGAGACGUGCAUUACUUGCAGGGCUUGUUGGUGCUACUAGUACUACUUUUGGAUAUUUUAAUUUGUUUGUGGUUUCUUUUUGUGUGGGGGUAAUGUUUCAAGGGGUAAAUCUCAGUUUAGUAUUCUUAAAUUUUGUGUUUUUCAACAUGUAGUACAUUAAGUUAUUUUUGUCUCCGAGUUAUACUUAAAUUGUUAAUUUUGGGACAGUCUCAUACAUCCGUUAGUCUGACUGUUAAGUCUCCCAUUAAUUGAUGAUGCGACGCCUAUGUGAACAAUAACUGGACGUCAUGUGUCAUUAAAAGGUUCACGUGGAAAUUCAAAAAAAAAAAAAAAAAAAAACCGAAAUUUCAAAAUUCAAAAUUUUAAAAUUUCAAAAAUUAAUAAAUUAAAAAAAGGUGGGGAUAAUUUCUUCCUCUAUCCCCGUCCCUUUUUCUCUCUUAUGCAAUUAUUGAGCUCUCCUUUGAAUCUCAGAUCCCCAGCAACCCUUGCCCUUGCGACCUUGUAACCCUUAGCAGAGGUUUGCAAACCUCGUAACCAUCGCCUUUUGUUACGAUCCAAUUCUCUAAACCCUUAAUCAACUGGCAAGUAACACAGAGGGUCGAGAGGAGGAGGGAAGGAGGAAGGUAGAAGGAGCGGAGCUCCAAUAUUUUUGUUUAUAUUUCUUUUUGUGUAAAUUCUCAUCUGAUUACAAUAGUGAGAGCUAGUGCUCUUGAGUCUUAUACAAGUCACAACUCAUCAUGCCAGCUAGCUAAUUAUAACAAACUUCACUAAAACAGGAAUAAGCCUAAUAAUCCCAAGAUUAAAACCCUUAAUAGUGAUUAAGCUAAUCACUAAUUACAGAUCAUAUCAUUACUCCCCCCUUGAAAAACAACCUUGUCCUCAAGGUUAGGAUUAGCACUUGAAAUCUGGAACUUUUUCGCAGUGAAUUCAUCAUAAGCCUCUUUGCUUUUAUUGUCUGACCAAGGCACUGCACCAAAACUUGGACUGCAAAAACCUUGGUUGAUAUCUGCAACCUAUCCCAGAUGCUGAAAAAAAAAAAAAAGAGAACAAGCUUUGGAGAUGACUCCCCGCGAAGCCUUGAUGUCUCAGCUGGAAAGAAUUUCUCCCCGUCAUGUGAUGUAUGCAGAUUAUCCCUUACAAUCAAUUCUGGACCUUCCAAGCUGAGUCUCCCUGAAACAGAUGGGAAAUUUAUUAGAAAAAUAGAUCAGCCCACAUGUGUGUAAUCUAUAUACAAAAAAUCACUCUCUUCAUUAGCCAAAUCGUUUCACAAAUCCCAAAACACAGAACUAUAUCUUGAACAGUGCUAAUUAAUGAUUUCCCAUUUACUUAAGCCCAACAUCAGCGCCAAUGAACUGAUGAAAGAGCGAAAAAGAGAAACAAAAAACCUCAAUGAAGCAAUUAAAUGGAGAAUUACUUGAUAGUGCUGGAAAAUUACUACAAAACGUUUGAAAAUUACCCAUUAAGAUUAUAAAAAAUUAAAAAAAAUUAAAAAAAAAAGAUGAUGUGGAGUGGAGUGGGAAUCACAUACCGCCAUCACCUUUAAAUAUGUAGUGCUCCCCUGAAAGAGCAUCAAGAGUGACUGUGCAGAGAAACGAAUGAUUGAAAAAUUCAAGCUCUGAGCUCAAAGUUGGGGCUUCCACUUUCCAACUGGGGAAGAAAUAAUAAAGAAAACACAGAAUCCAUCAAAAAUAUUAAUCAAAUGGGUUUCUUCUAAUUCAAAAUUUGGACCACCCAAAUUCUGAUGAAGAAAUAACCAUUCAAAAUUCCAACAGAUUGAAGCUCUCACAGACUACAAAUUAUCAAUACCCAGCAAUAAAAAAUUUGAAAACAGUAAUAAUGAAGGAAAAAGAAAUUAAAGCUGCGAGCCAUUCUCUAAAUCUCAGGCACCAAUCCAAAUCACCAGUAAUUUGCACAUAAUGAUAAGAAUCUAGCAGUAUUUCCAUUGUUUAAAACCCAAAUUCUAGAAAUCAUGAAAAAUGGAAACUUUAUAUGGAAAUUGAAGCUUUACCUGCAGAUUAGCAGCAGCAAACGAAUCCAACGGCAUAUACCUCAAAAGUGAGUGACAGAGAAAGAGAGAGCUAAGAGAUGAGUGAGAGAAUCGAUAAACAAAAACCCCCAUAACCACAAAAGGAAAUUUGAACAAAAACAAAUAUGCAAAUCCAAAAUCACAAAAACGAAAUGAAACACCCACACCGAGAAAGUUGUAAAACUCACCAGAAGCACAGUGCUUCCCAAAAUUCUAGUUGUUUCACUCCUCUCUUCCCCAAAUUUACAGGUAUGUUUUUCUUUUCUGUAAUCUGAUUAUAAAUUAUUAAAGAUGAUUACACGAACCACCGAAAUCACCACCAAAUUUCAACAAAGAAGUAACUAAGCACAACAAAAAGAAGAAGAAAAAAAAGGUUAAACUCUGUUUACUACCCUCAUGUUUCGUGGUUUUCAACAUUUAGUACAUCAAGUUUUUUUCGUCCCAGAGUCAUACCUAAAGUGUUAAUUUUGGAACAAUCUCAUACAUCUGUUAGUCAAACUGUUUAUUCUCCCGUUAAGUGAUGACGUGGCACCUAUAUGGACAAUGACUGGACUCCAGGUGUCAUUAAAUAUAUUAAAAUAAUUAAUUAAAUAAAAGUUUUAAAAAAAAAACCCAUCCCUCCUUCCCCCCUCCCCCAACCCAACCCAACCCAGAAGAAGAAAAAGGUGGAGGAAGAAAAGGGAGAAAAAGAAACCAAAUCUGGGAAGAAGAAGAAGGAAAAAAAAACCGAAUUUGGGAAGAAGAAGAAGAAGAAGAAGAAUGAGGAGGAAGAAGAUGAAGAAGACGAAGAAGAAGGAGGGAGAAGAAGAGAAAGAAGAGGAAGAAGAAGAAGAAGAAGAAGGAAGAAGAAGAAAAAAAAAACCGAAUCUGGGAAGAAAAAGAAGAAGAAGAAGAAAAAAAAAACCGAAUCUGGGAAGAAGAAGAAAGAAGAAGAAGAAGGAAGAAGAAGAGGAAGAAGAAGAAGGAGAAGGAGGAAGAAUGAUGAAGUAGAAGAAGAAGAAAAAAAAAACUGAAUAUGGGAAGAAGAAGAAGAAGAAGAAGAAGAAAAAGAAAAAAAACAGCAGCCCAAACCCAGUUCGUCCCCCUCCCCCCUGCAACCCACCUGCCUUCUCCCUCGUCCCGCGAACACGACCCACCUGUCUUCCUUCUUCUUCUUCUGGGUUACAAAUUCGAUUUUUUUUCUUCUUCUUCUUCUUCUUCUUCUUCUUCUUCUUCUAGGGGGGGCGGGGGAGAAGGAUGGGGUUUUUUUUUAAUUUAUAUUUAAUUAAUUAUUUUAAUUUUUUUUUAAUGAGACGUGGCACCCAGUCAUUGUCCACAUAGGCACCACGUUAUCACUUAAUGGGAUAAUUAACAGUUUGACUAACGGAUGUAUGAGACUGUCCCAAAAUUAACAUUUUAGGUAUGACUCUAGGAUGAAAAAAACUUGAUGUACUAAAUGUUGAAAACCACGAAACAUUAGGGUAGUAAACAGAGUUUAAUAAAAAAAAAUCAAAUAUUUGGCUUUUGGGUAUUUGAGAAAAAGUGAGAUUUAAUUACCUGUCACAGGCUACAGUAAUUGGGAGCACGAUGGGGCGGCGAGGAGAUUGAACAGAUAAGGAAGCAAAGAUCGAACAUAUAUCACGAAGCGGAAUCAAAAUCGUCAAUCGUGUUGCAGAGCACAGUUUUUUCCUUUUUGGAUUUCUGCGGUUUCUGAGGAAGAAGUCGAGAGACUUAUUGGACACCUAAGGUUAUAACCGACCUUUUAAUGUGUAAUGUACACAAAAAAGCAAGACUUGAAGAGCAACUGAAGGGCAAAAUGGGAAGAACAUUGUCGAAGGAACAGUGUUUCAGUUCUUUUUCUCUUUUAGUUAAUAUAAUAUAAUUGCUAUGCUAAAACCCAUAGUUCAGAGAAGAAUCUUGCAUGAUCACUAACAACGUAAGGGAAAAUCAAACUUUGUGUUGCUUGUUUUAUGAAUCUCUUUAUUUUUUAUUUCAAAUUUAUGAGUGUCUCACUUUUCCACAGUUUCUAAUCUGUUAUUGUUUUGGGAAAGUGGUUAAAAUGGUAUGAAAUCAUAUCUCAAUUCUCAAUUUCUGAACUUAUCAAAAUCAAAUAUCGACAACAUACUGAAAAAUUGAUAAUUUCAGUGAUUGGGUAAAAAAUGAUCAUUUUAGCCAAAUUCCCUCUUAUUUUCUGUUGUCGUAAUUUAGAUUGCAACUUUUGUAAGUUUUUCUGAUUUUGGUGUUGGUUUUUGUAGUUAAGUAUCAAGGAAUGUGUCAAGCCCCUAUUUGGACAUUCGUUUAGAAUCGACACGUGACGUCACCAAAUACCUGUACAUCUACCAUACCCUACUUCCAGGAUACGGGCCAAACACAACUCACGAUCCAAAAGCAUAGUAAUUUUUUUCGUAUACUUUAUGGCUGCAUCUAACCUCCUCAUUAGAUUGCCUACGUAUCAUAAACAGGGAUCAAGCCAUUCAUAGUUCGUCCUUCACUACCCUUGAACAAUCAUCACAUAAAUAAAUAUGUCUCAAUAUAAUACCUUCAUCCAUACCAUGUAACAUAUCAAAUAACAAACGAAGCACAGUAAUAUUCUCUAGUCAUGUUGCCAUUCACCCACACAUAUGUUUUCCAACACCAUCCAACAAUCACACCAAUCAAUAACACAUACAAUACAUCGACAUGCAGGGCUAAAGUGACAAAGUUCGGUCGAAACCUACAUCUCUAAAGCUGAAAUCGAAUCCAAGGAACCCAAACCACCCCUAGCUCGUCCCAUAUUCCUUCACGAGCCCAGAGCUUAAACUCGAGCAACUCUCGGACCUCACAUCAGAGAAAACAGGAAAUGGAGAACUACGACAAGUUCUCAAAUUCUUUCGACCGAGGUAAAACUCGAAAUACCUUCAAUCUCUACCCUUUUGAUGUUCUGAUUCAAUUUUUGAGUUGUAUACGUGUUGUGACGACGUUUAGGUGCAAAAAUCACUCGAGGAUGAACUCCCUAGUUUUCUGGCGAAGUCCGCAAGUUUCAGACCAUUUUUCUGGCCAAAACCUUUGGGCCAUUGUUCUAGCCCAACCCAACAACUCAGUCAACCUAAUCUAACCUAGCAAACCUGGCCUAACCUAGUGACCCGGAUCUGUGAAACCUGCCCAAGCCUAGAUUCGUGGGCCAGAUCCACCCUGGGAUCCGGCCCGACCCAAUUCCCAAAUGGAUUUGAAAUAUUCCAGAAUAUUCCAAGAAUAUUCUUUGGAAUAUUCCUUGUGUUGACUUUUAUGAUAUUUUCUCACGAACCUUCUUAGACUAAUUUCGACGCCUUGAGUCCGUUUUUGACAUCUAUUUAGUGAAAUUAUAAAGAUUUAAUAUGGUUGACCGGCUCGGUGUCUCGAUUCACUUUUUGGGUCAACUGUUGACUUUUCGUUGACUUUUUACAAAAUUUACCCGGGACUUCUCGUAGGGUAAUUCGACGCGCUGAUUCUGAAUCUGCUGUCUGUUUCUCCAAAUUCAAAUGUUUUAAUUAAGUUUUUACUAAUGGGCCUCUAUUAUGCUUAGGUACUCUUUAGCAUUGGCGAAUUCUUAUUUACAUGUCUGAAUGUCAGUAACCUUGCAAGUACCUGUGAGUGGACCCCUUCUCAAAUUGCAUGUUUUCAUAACUAUUAGGCUUGCAUUCAUGAAAAUAAUAUUUUUUAUAAUUCUACAUUUUAUGAAUUAUUUAUGCUUCAUAUUUGAUUUAUAUUGCUUUCACGAAGUCUUUAUGAAUUAUCUUAAUAGAUUUUGAAGAAUUAUUUAUAAUCCAUUGGUUUAAUGUUUAUGAGAACUCGUAUUUAUGGAAAUCACGUUUAUGGAUUUAUAAGAUUUGAGAUAUGUUUUAUAUACUUAUCUAGUGGGUUAUCAUACAACACAUACACACAACCUGACUAUGUAGACGUCUAUGGCCAUAGGACACAGUUGAGGAUAUUUAUGACAUACUCCCAGCUUUACUGGCGAAACCAGUGUCGGACAACUUUAAUAGCCACGGCUAGUGUCGGUAUGUUAUGUUUAUAGUUAUAUUUUCUUCUCUCGCGUAACCCAGAGUCGUAUAGCUUCACCUUCGGGUGAUGGGACCUACCAUGUUUCUUCACCGGCAUAACCUAGAGUCGUACAACUUCACCUCCAGGUGAUGAUUAUGCCUUCGGGCGACUAUGAUACCCCUAGUUGAGUAUAUCACAGAGUUUAUUUACGAGAUUCUCAUAUCUGCCUUCGGGUGUUACUAUCGAUUUCCAAAGAGGAUUUUAUCGUUACAAAAUUUUUAGCAUGCUAGAGUUUCCAAAAAAACUAUUAUGUAGUAUUAUAUGGGUUUUCAAAACAGAGAGUUAAUAUGUUCAGAAAAAGAAAACGUUUUUUGUAUUAUUACUACUAUUAUUAUAAAUUAUCGUCCACUUACCCUUUCAUUCUUGCGCCCCCUUCAGGAUUUAGAAUCGAGACGUACGAUCCCGGCGUCAGGGCACUUCCGUAUAGGUAUCUUUGAGUCUUCUCAGUGUAUGGCCCAUUUCCCUUGUUCGUGCCUUUUUAUAAUUAUUCUUUCACAUUAUUCUUGCUUAGUUGUAGGCUCUGAACACGUUUCCUUAAUUGCGUAUUUCUUUAUAGUUACAUAUUUUAGUCACUUUUGUUUACUGAUACCACUUGCAUGCAUGUUAAAAUGGCUUCGUCACCUUUAGGUGUCAGCCAGCAUGUGCCUACCCUAGUAUUCGAGGAUAUCGGGGUUGGGGCAUGUCAGCCUGGGUGGUCGUAGGUGCACAGGGGCGCGCGUGGGCCAUCAGACCUUGGGCCUGCGCUGCGUGCUGGGCUAGUGCUUGCUCUUCAUGGGUCUGGGCCUAGCUAGUAGUGAGUUGGGCUCGACUGGUAACGAGCUGGUCCUUAGUCGUCUGCCCAUGGGUUCUUUUUGCUGGUUGGCCAGCUCUGCUGGUCUUCCGUGCACCUGGACCUGCUGCAGUGGCUUAGGCCUCAUUCCCUGGGCCUAAUAUGGCAGCUGUCACGUUUUCGACCUCUUACAUGUGGUUCGUGAGCCCCUGUUUCAACGUAGUUGGCCAUUUGUAGCACGCGCUUGGGCCUCGGCUUAGGCUGCUACUAUGAAAUCACAUUCUUGGAUUUCACUAUUAUAAUUUCCAUGUUUUGUAUUCGCGAAAUUUUAUAUUAUUUUUUGCAAAUUUAAUUUAAUUUAGUUAAUUUAGAAUUUUAAUUCCUUAGUUACAAAGUUUGAAAUUUUGAAAAGAAUCAUUUAAAAUUUGUAGACCUUUCAAGUUCAAAAUUAAUGUUUUCAAAAAAGAUCAAUCAUACGAACGUGUAGGCAAAAGCCGUUCACGAACGGAGCUAUAACAAAGUUAUGAGUGACGAAAGUUGGAGAUAAAUGUUAAUUUAGGAAUUUCUCUAAAUGAAAACUUACUAUUUUUAUUUGGAAGAGGGACCAAUCAGAUUGGGGAAAAGCCCAUUUAAUGGGAGGAUGGACUAAUCAGAAAUGGGAGGAAGGUUGACCAAUCAGAAAAGAUAGAACCAACAGAGCCGAAUCCUCCCUCAACCCGCAGGACCCGGUUUCUGGCGACUUUUGCUUCCUUUUUUUUGUCAAUUUUUCGACGAGUUGGAGACAUCCAUCACCACCACAUGACUCAUCAACCUCCCCUCUUCAAUUCUCACCUAAACUCAACUCAGUUUUACUCUAAUUUCAUGAUGAACUCCUUCGGCGAGUUCAUGAGUCCUGCAUUGGUGAUCUGCCAUUUUUUAAAGUUAUUUUUUUUACCACCACCACCCACAAACACCCUUUAAGCCCAGGAACAUGACCCAAACAAGUUUGGGGUGAACAGAGCAACGAAGAGGAUGAAUCAAAGUGCACCAUUUUUAGGGUUUUCCGAUGGAUCGUGGUAUUAUCAGGCCUUAGACCUCGACCCAUGUAUAAAACUUACUCCCUUCUUCAAGAUCUUUAUUUUGGUAUAAUUUGAGAAAUUUUGGAGUUAGGUGAAUUUUCGAACAAAUCGGGGCGGUCAACCACCUCGUGCGGCAGCGCGUGCUGGUGGCGCAUAGCUCGAGGACCCAUUUGGUCCUUCUUGAGUACAUUUGAUGCCCAAUUCCAUAUUUGAUAUCUGAUUGAAAAAAAUUUGUCGCUUGAACAUAUUUUCGUUAGGGUCCGCCACUUGAAUAUUGUAACUUUGAGAUGUGGAGGCAAUUGAAGAUUAGAGUUUGAUUAUCAAGGAAAUGGAAACAGGCUUCAAGCUUGGUUUGAGAUGUGGAGGCAACUGCUGAUACAUAUAUGUUUGGAUGCUAUGUUUAGAAUUAUUUAAUUUUGCAUUGACAUGGUUAAAAUUCUAGAAGAAAAAAAAUGAGAAAUUUCCUUGUUAUGAUGUUCAAGAUAUGAACUGUGAUAGCCACAACUAUUAUGUCAUAUUUUAGAAGGAAUACUUUUUGCCUUUAGCAACAUUUUUAUUUUGUUGAAAAGAAGGAAGAAAGAUGCUAUUUGUGGCAUUUGUUAUGCUAUUUGUUUCAUAGGAAAUCUGGAAAAAUCUACCAAAAAUCCCUCCAAUUUUUUUUCGUCAGCAAAAUCAAUUCCAAAAGAAAGAUUAAUGAGGCUUUCAAAAAAAUUUUAAAAAAAUUAAAAUGCUCAAAGUCCAAGAAUUCUCACCAAUUUAUUUUAGUCAUUAAAAUUAUACUUAAUGAGGUUUCCAAAAUUCUAGGCACAUUAAAAACAAUAUAAGGGCAAAUUUGGAAAUCAAAUUAAAAUAAUUAAAAUAGAUAAAUCAGAAAUAUAGGAGUGUGGAUUGAGAUUUUGAGGGUGUCAAUAACAGCUACCUAUGCAAUUUUGUUGGUUAUUAUGUACUAAAAUAUAUAAAUACAAAUAUAUAUAGGGAACUGUUAUUAUCACUCCAAAAAUUUUAUUCUACACUCCUCAUAAGUGUAUUUUUUUUUUUAAUUAUAGAAAGUUUGGAGUGUCAAAUGAGAUUUUUUGAGUGUCUAUAUAUAUAUUGUUGAUGCACAAAACCGGAGGUCUUGGAACAACGUAAAUCCGACCGUGAAUCUGCAUAAAAUGUAAAUAACACAAGAUGUAUCGUGGUUCACCCCAAGGUUUGGGCUACGUCCACAUUGAUAGUUGAUUCUGUUUCUCUGUAAUUGUAUGGAUACAAGUGUUUGGGGGAAGUCCCCCGGAGGAGAAAGAAGAGAAGGGAGAGGAGAGCCUCGGUGGUGUGAGGUCUCUCCUGAAUGUAAUGAUAGCUUCUCUUAGCCUUCUUAGGCUUGGCUCUUUUGCCUCCUUUAGAAUGAGGGUAGGAGUCCCCUUUUAUAGAAUAAGGGGCUCCUCCUCUUUUACAAAGUAUGGGCUUUAGUGUGAGGCCCAAAUACAAGGCCCAAGGCCCAAAUAUACGAGGCCCUAAAUAUGGUAUAAACAUAUAUAUAUUUGUUAAAUAGUUUUUUUUUUAUUUUUUUUAUUUUUGGAAAAUAAUUUAUAACGGGCAUUAGCUGUGGUCAAUUAGUAAUCGACAAUGGUCAUAGCAUGUGGUGUUAAACCCCAAUCCACCAAGGGUACAAUCCAUGGUUAUAUUGCAAUUGACAACGGGUAUAGCCUGUCGUAGAAACUGAGACUUUUUAUUACAUCUAGAAUACUAAUGAACACAGUAUCCGUGGUGGAUUGUAAUUUAUCACGGGUAGGUGUAGUAUUGGUACAAUUACCAUACCAAAACCCAUGUACCAACCUUAUGAUAUGACAAAAUCUAUUACCAUUACCGUGCCAAACUUUCGGUAUACCGAAUUUCGGCAUGCCAAAUAGUUUGAUCGGCAUGGUAUGGUGAUGAUAAUUACCACUUUGUUUUGGGCCAAAAUUUGAUUUUCUUUUUCUUUUUCUUUUUCCACCCAAUUCAAGGCCCAAACGUGUUUUGGCCACUUUUUUUGGCUUUCUAAAACUUUUUAAUUUAAUUAUGAGAAUUUUAUAGAGAUUCAUUUAAGAAACAAGAAGUAAAUAAAUAGAAGAAUUGCUGAAAGAACCCAACAUCCCAGAAAAAAAAUACCUCAAAGAUUCUUAAAUUCCAUUUCUACAUUAUUUAAAAUUGUACAAAAAUUAACUUGAUAGACGAAGCUAGGGAGAAAGACAUCUCAAUUUGAUGAAGGAGAAGAUGAGAUGGAUUGCGAAGAGAGAGAAUCUUCGGAACGGGAGCAACAUAGAUGAAGCUGAUGGCUAGAUGAGAGAAAAAAUGAAGAGUCGCAGAAUAAGAAGGCUUAUGUUUUUUAUUGGGAAAGUAGAGGCUAAACGGUGAGAUGAUUUGAUAAAUGACUAGGAAAAAAAUAUAUAAAAUGCAUACAUAAUGAUAAUAAUACAUAAUUAUAUAUAAAAAUGAAUAAAUAAACGGUAUAAUAUUAAUAGUGGUGGUACGGUAGGGUAUACCAUUGGUAAUAGUUUUAAGUAUCAAUAUUGUACCGAAAAUGUAUGGUACGGUAUAAAUACCGUACCAUUACCAAUGGUACAAAUUUUUUGGCACAACUUCUGUAUGGUAGGGUUGGUAAUUCGGUUAGUAUGGUAAUUUGGCAAAAAAUUUCAUCCCUCACAGGCAUUCAUCUAGAUAGAUGAACUUUUUUUUCCUAAUGUGUACCACUUAUGUUAUGAGCAUAAAGAAAAAUUUCUCUGAACAAGGAGCAAGUGGGAAUAAUAAAUCUGAACUAUAGCACGUACACGUAGAUAACAAGACGAGGAAAAGCAUCGAGGCAACGUUCUCCGAGAAGCUUUCAGGAACAAGAUCCGUUGACGACGAAGUAGACUUUCCUGUGCAUAGUCGACUUGGUGGGAAGUUUCCUCGUGGGGCCAUUUGAUUGGUGGGACAAAGACGUCCGUAAUUAUAAUUAUAAUGAUAGGAUUGAUUCCUCUACUCUAGAUUGAAUUGGAGCUGAAUGAUUGAAUUUGUAAGGCCCUGAUUGGGGGGAUUCCUCAUUGGUCAUCAUGGCUUUGAUUGAUUAAAUGGACAUAUAGCUAGCUUGAAUUGGAACUGAAUGAUUGCACUUAAACGGUCCUGAUUGGGCGGACUCCUCUUUGGUCAUCAUGGCUCUGAUUGAUAUCAGUAUAAAGAAAGACAUUGACCAUUCUGGUUUCCAACUCUCUCCAUCUACUGUUUUUGAGCAGAUCGGCUAAAGCUUGAAGAUGAACAAGUUGAUAAAGUUUGUUUAUUUUGUGUUUUUGAUUGAGUGUUUGAAUCGGUUUCUUUUUGGUAGGAUAGUAGAGAAAUUGAAAAAGAUAACUUGGAGAUUGGUUUCUGCUAUGCAAAUAAUGCAGCAGCCUUGAUUGAAUAAGAAGAGUGAUUUUUACACAAGAGUAUGGUGCAUUUCCAUCACCCAUACUUUCUACAAAAGGUGAUUGACAAGAGGCCUUAACAACCAUUAAGCCUUACUACUCCAGAUUACAUCUUAACCCUUCAUUUUGGGGUUAAAUGAUUUAAUCUGGAGUGUACAUUUGUCACUCACACACUUACACAAACAUUUAAAAACAAAACUAGCCGUUGGAGACUAGAACCCUUCAUUUUCUUUCUUCUUCUUCGAUGCAGAUGACAUCCUUUUGCUCGGGAGUAUCUUGCUGCCUUCGACUCCCCGACUCCAGGAGCUGGUUAGCUUCCAACACUCCCUUCUAAACUGCUUCUGGGAGUCAAUCCGAGCAAACCCCUCAGGUAAUUGAAUCUCUCCUUCGGUAGUGCUUUUGUGAAUAUGUCUGCGAUCUGAUCUUCUGUGCUGCAAUAGAUUAGCUUGAUUGUGUUGUCUUGCAAUGCUUCUCUGAUGAAAUGAUAUCUUCUCUUGAUGUGUUUUGUUCUCUGAUGAAAUACUGGGUUUUUAGUCAUGGCAAUUGCAGAGGUGUUGUCACACAGAAGUGGUGUGGCUUCAACUUGCAAUUCGCCAAAAUCUUUAAGUAUGAACCUUAGCCAAAUGGCUUGAGAUGUAGCUUCUGAUGCACUUACAUACUCUGCCUCGGCUGUGGACAGUGCAACACUUUGUUGCUUCACAGAGGCCCAUGAAAAAACCCCUGAUCCGAAAGUGAAAGCAUAGCCCGAUGUGCUUCUACUAUCAUCCUCACUGCCACCCCAGUCACUGUCACAGAAUCCAAUUAGAAUAGAUGACUUUCCCAUCUCAUAUUUGAUCCCAUAAUCAAGAGUUCCUUGCACAUAUCUUAGCACUCUCUUAGCCGUGCCCAUAUGUAUCUUGCUAGGAUUCUGCAUAAACCUAGAAAGUAGGCUUGCUGAGAACAUCAGAUCCGGCCUUGUUGCUGUUAGAUACAAUAGACUGCCAACAAUGCUUUUAUAGAGACUAGCAUCUGCAGGUUCACUUCCAUCCUCCUUCUUGAGCUUCUCAUUUGCAAUUAAGGGUGUAGAAAACUGGUUUGCAACCUUUCAAACCAAACUUUUCAAGCAAAGUUUCAGCAUACUUCUUUUGAUGAAUAAAAAUGCUACUUGCUUUUUGAAUUACCCCAAUGCCAAGAAAAUGAUGCAAGAGGCCUAGGUCAGUCAUCUCGUACCUCUUCAUCAUUUCUUCCUUGAACUCUUCCAUCAUUGCAGCAUCAUUUCCAGUGUAGACAACAUCAUCCACAUAGAUUGAGACAAUGAGUGUCUUGUUGUUGCUUUCUGUCUUGGUGUAGAGUGUAGCUUCACUAGGACUUUUCUGAAAUCCUUUCUCAAUGAAAUAUGAAUCAAUCUCACUGUACCAAGCUCUUGGAGCUUGUUUUAGGCCAUAAAGAGCCUUCCUCAACUUGUACACUUUUUCUGGAAACUCUUGAUUUGUGAACCCUUGAGGUUGUUCCACAAACACUUCCUCCUCUAGCACUCCAUUUAGAAAUGCAGAUUUAACAUCCAAUUGAUGCAACUUCCAACCCUUCUUGGCUGCUAGUGCUAUCAAGGUCCUUAUGGUGUCUAACCUUGCUACUGGAGCAAAGGUUUCAUUGAAGUCUACACCAGGUUUCUGUGAGUAACCUUUGGCCACUAACCUGGCCUUGUUCUUUUGCACAGAACCAUCUAGAUUUAGCUUCACUUUGUACACCCAUUUUACACCAAUCACAGGCUUCUCACUUGGUCGAUUUACAAGUUCCCAAGUGUCAUUCUUUUCUAUCAUUUCAAGCUCUUCCUUCAUUGCUUUCUUCCAAGCUUUGUCUUUCUCAGCUUCUUCAUACGUUUCUGGUUCUACUACACAGUAAUUACAUGUAGCAUAAAUCUCAUCCAGAUUUCUCAAUCUUACUGGAGUUGAACUAGGAGUUGUUGUCUGUGAUUGACUUGAUUGUGGACUCAUAGUAGCUUGCUGUGGAGUCCCUUGUAUGUCACCAUUAUCUGUGACUUCUUCUUGAACUGAGGUCUCUAUAGGCUCCCUUGUUUGCCUUUUGUUUAGGUCAAUUUGUAGAGAGACACUGUCCUUUUCCUCUACCAUUGUAUCCCAGUUCCACAUUGAGUCUUCAUCAAAGAUAAUAUCCCUUGAUAGGAUUAUCUUUUGAGUCAAUACAUUAUAAACUCUGUAUCCUUUCUCACUGGUACCAUAGCCUACAAAAACACCCUUGUUACUUGAUUUCUCCAACUUGUGCCUUAGUUGAUGAGGGAUGAGAUUGUAGCAUACUGAGCCAAACACUCUCAGAUGCUUCACAGAAGGCUUCCUUCCACUGAACACUUCAAAUGGAGUCUUCUUCUCCAAUGCCUUAGUAGGACACCUAUUCAAUAGAUACACUGAGGUGUGUUCACAGCUUCACCCCAAAAUUUAUAAGGCAUGUUCUUCUCAUGCAUCAUAGACUUAGCCAUUUCGACUAUAGUCCUAUUCUUCCUUUCUGCAAUCCCAUUCUGUUGUGGUGUAUAUGCCACAGUGAGUUGCUUCUCUAACCCUACAUCUUCACAAAAUACAUUGAACUCAUGUGAGGUGUACUCACCACCCCUAUCACUUCUUAGUCUUUUGAUUUGGUAUCCACUUUGCAAUUCCACCAUUGCCUUAAACUUCUUGAAUAUUGUGAAUACCUCAGACUUGAACCUCAUGAAAUACACACCACACAUCCGUGAAUAAUCAUCAUCAUGAAGGUUAGGAAAUACCUGUUUCCACUGAUUGUUGUUGUUCUCAUUGGUCCACACACAUCUGAGUGAAUCAAUUCGAGUGGCUUUGUUGCCCUCCAAGCCUUUCCAGCUUCAAAUGAAUCUCUGUGAUGCUUGCCAAACACACACCCUUCACAGAUUUCAUUGCAUUGAUCCAUUUUUUGGUAUACCUUGCACCAUUUCAUCCUUUUGCAGAUUUUGUAAGCUUGUCAUGUUUAAAUGACCAAGUCUCUUGUGCCAUAGUUUCAUAGAACUUGUCACACUUGCUUUCUUUGCCACUUCUUCUAAGUACUUCAGUACAAGUGGAAAGCUUCUGUUUUUCACUUCCACUUUGGUCACCAAGUUUGAUAGGGAUCUGUCAUCAUAGAUCUCAACCACAGUCCCCCCAAAGAGUAGGAAAUAGCCAUGCUCCAUCAUUUGACCCACACUAAGUAGAUUCUCAUCCAAUCCAGGCACUAGCAUCACCUCCCUUAUACAUCUUCUUCCUUUCUUGGUGUUGAUAACCAGAGUUCCUCUUCCAGUGGCUUUGACAAUGUUUCCAUCACCCAUUUUCACUUUUCCAGUGAAGUUUGUGUCGAUGUCAAUAAGUAAAGACUCAUGUGCAGUCAUGUGGUUGCUGCAGCCACUGUCAAUGUACCACACUUCAUUGUUUCUCUCCAUUUUUGCAUUGAAAGCACAGAACACAUUUGCUUCUUCUUCCACUUGAUUUGCACAGUUUACUUGUUGCACAUUCUUUGAUCUGCAGUCCUUCAUAAUGUGCCCAAACCUGUUGCAUUUGUGGCAUCUAGGCUUGUCCUUGAACCAACACUCUCCAAGGUGGAAUUUAUCACAGUGCUUACAUUGCUGCUUGGUUCUUGGACCUACAUUGGUGUUGCUGCCUUGGUUAGGUCUUGAGUUGUGAUACCCUUUUCCUUCCCAUUUCUUGCUUUUGCCCUUCCACUGUGGUUUCUGAUUGCUUGCACUGGCUUGACUGCUAGAUCCAACAUUGAGUGUUUGAAAGGCUUUCUCAGGUGCAGAGUCAGCAUGCCUCUCGAGCCUUUGAUCAAAAGCUCUUAAGGAUGCCAUCACCUCUUGUACACUGAGUGUUUCAGUGUCUUUGGUUUCUUCUAUAACACUCACUAUUGAAUCAUAGGGUUUAGUCAAACUAAUCAACAGUUUUUGGACAAUUCUUUCAUUAGGCAGUUCCUCACCAUAUGUUUUCAUCUUGUUUACAACAUCAUCAAACAGCCUAGUGAAGUAGUCUUUUAACAGCUCAUUUUUCCCUCAUUCUUGUAUACUCAAAAUCUCUUCUAAGGGACUGAAGUUUUACCUUUCUAACUUUGGUGUCUCCUCUGUAUUCUUGCUGUAAAACUUCCCAAGCUCCCUUUGCAGUCUCUUCAUUUGCUAUCCUCGGAAAAAUGGUGUUGUCUGAGACAGCACCUUGAAUGAUUCCAAGUGCUCUAGCAUCCUCCAUCCGAUUCUGCUUCAGUGUUUUGAGUUGUGUUUCUGUGAGAUCCUCCUCUAGAGCAUCGAUCUCCAUCUCAGGUAGUUCAUACCCAUGUUGAACCAUAUAUCCCAUAGAUCAUAGGAUUUGAAAAUGGUUGUCAUUCUUAUUCUCCAAAAAUCAUAAUUCUCCCCAUCAAAGACUGGAGCUUUUAGCUCACUGCUACUGCUGGAUCCUUUCAUUUCCAGAAUUGUUUGUUGAUUAUUGUUAUAGAAGACACUACGUUGGUGCUCCCAAAGAUCUUAUCUUGCACAGAUUACGCCCCGAAAGUUGUAAGAUCAAUAACAAAGCUCUGAGGCCAUGAUAAAGUUUGUUUAUUUUGUGUUUUUGAUUGAGUGUUUGAAUCGGUUUCUUUUUGGUAGGAUAGUAGAGAAAUUGAAAAAGAUAACUUGGAGAUUGGUUUCUGCUAUGCAAAUAAUGCAGCAGCCUUGAUUGAAUAAGAAGAGUGAUUUUACACAAGAGUAUGGUGCAUUUCCAUCACCCAUACUUUCUACAAAAGGUGAUUGACAAGAGGCCUUAACAACCAUUAAGCCUUACUACUCCAGAUUACAUCUUAACCCUUCAUUUUGGGGUUAAAUGAUUUAAUCUGGAGUGUACAUUUGUCACUCACACACUUACACAAACAUUUAAAAACAAAACUAGCCGUUGGAGACUAGAACCCUUCAUUUUCUUUCUUCUUCUUCGAUGCAGAUGACAUCCUUUUGCUCGGGAGUAUCUUGCUGCCUUCGACUCCCCGACUCCAGGAGCUGGUUAGCUUCCAACACAAGUAAGUCAACUUCAAACUCCUCGUAUCCUUAUUUUUCUUUGAAUCCUUUGUCGUUGAUUGAUCUUAUACUGUCUUGAUUAAGCAGACAUUGUUCUGAAAUGGCUGAAGGGUGUUUUUCAACAAGUAAAAGCUCUUACGGUUAAAUCUGGCAAAAGAAACUUACAAAACGCUUUUAGAUAGUGUAAGCUCUUUUCGGAGAAGCACUUGCUAUGGCUAGACUUUUACCAAACACAAUUUUAGCUCCAACUUUUCUAAAAACUGUUUUUAAAAAUAAAAUUGAGCAACCUCAGACCCGCCCAUGUCAACAUUCAAGUUUUCAAGUGCUUUUUCAAAGAGCACUUGAGUAUUUAAUAAACAUGUCUAAUCUGUUCAUAGUAAAAGAGAACUGCUUAUGAGUAGAGUGUUUCUUACGAGUACAAUGGCUUUAUAAUCGUCCUUAUAAUUUACCCAUGUGGAAUUUCAUUCUUACUAGUGUUUUGCUAAAGUGACUUCACUAGAAAUACGGCGAAAGUUCUUUAGAAAACACUUCUCCUACUCGUAUACAUUUUUAAGUUUUUCUUUCAAUAUAAUGAAAAACAUUUUUUAUCGUUAGAUUGACAUUGUUAGCUAUUUCAAAAGCAGUUUCAAACGUGUUUAUUAUUAUAUGGUUGGGUGUUAUUUGCUUACAUACUCCAUUUAACUUUGUUUCAAUAUUUUGUUGGUGAUGACAGUAUUAGCAGUGCUGGGCUUGAACUAGAAAAUGUGCUGGUGACUUCUCCUCCCCUGCACCAGUCAUGGGACGCUGUUCAGAAGCAAAAGCUCAACACAGCUCCUGAUCCGAAUGCACAAACGGCCUUAUAUGUUACUGAAACCAAGCACUCAAACACCACCAUCAUAUCUUUUCUUACUUCACCCGUCACACUUCAAGAUCAACAAGCGAUGAUUUCGUCGUUGACUCUCAGGGACAAAAAAUUUCCCCUCUUUGAGUUUUUGUGCACCA
rnacentral:lncRNA from 1 species